rnacentral:rRNA from 1 species
GCGAGAAAGGGAGCAAUCCCCGGUACAGCGGCGCACGGGUGAGUAACACGUAGGUAAUCUGCCUCCGAGUGGGGGAUAACCUUCCGAAAGGAGGGCUAAUACCGCAUGAGACCACGCCUUCGAGAGAGGGAGGGGUCAAAGCCGGCCUCUAUACAUAAGCUGGCGCUUGGAGAUGAGCCUGCGGCCCAUCAGCUAGUUGGUAGGGUAAUGGCCUACCAAGGCAAAGACGGGUAGCUGGUCUGAGAGGAUGAUCAGCCACACUGGGACUGAGACACGGUCCAGACUCCUACGGGAGGCAGCAGUGGGGAAUCUUGCGCAAUGGGCGAAAGCCUGACGCAGCGACGCCGCGUGAGUGAUGAAGGCCUUCGGGUUGUAAAGCUCUGUGGAGGGGGACGAAUAAGAGUAGCCCAACACGCUAUUCGAUGACGGUACUCCUUUAGCAAGCACCGGCUAACUCUGUGCCAGCAGCCGCGGUAAGACAGAGGGUGCAAACGUUG